UGCGUAGGCGGGCUAAUAAGUCAGUGGUGAAAUCUUUCGGCUCAACCGAGAAACUGCCAUUGAUACUGUUAGUCUUGAGUUCGGUUGAGGUAGGCGGGAUGUGUAAUGUAGCGGUGAAAUGCUUAGAUAUUACACAGAACACCAAUUGCGUAGGCAGCUUACUAGACCGACACUGACGCUGAGGCACGAAAGCGUGGGGAGCGAACAGGAUUAGAUACCCUGGUAGUC
rnacentral:rRNA from 1 species